rnacentral:rRNA from 1 species
GACGAACGCUGGCGGCGUGCUUAACACAUGCGAGUCGAACGGAAAGGCCCUGCUUUUGUGGGGUGCUCGAGUGGCGAACGGGUGAGUAACACGUGAGUAACCUGCCCUUGACUUUGGGAUAACUUCGGGAAACUGGGGCUAAUACCGGAUAGGAGCUCCUGCUGCAGGGUGGGGGGUGGAAAGUUUCGGCGGUUGGGGAUGGACUCGCGGCUUAUCAGCUUGUUGGUGGGGUAGUGGCUUACCAAGGCUUUGACGGGUAGCCGGCCUGAGAGGGUGACCGGCCACAUUGGGACUGAGAUACGGCCCAGACUCGUACGGGAGGCAGCAGUGGGGAAUAUUGCACAAUGGGCGGAAGCCUGAUGCAGCAACGCCGCGUGCGGGAUGACGGCCUUCGGGUUGUAAACCGCUUUCGCCUGUGACGAAGCGUGAGUGACGGUAAUGGGUAAAGAAGCACCGGCUAACUACGUG